AGGGCUGUAGCUCAGUGAUAGAGCACAUGCUUUGCAAGCAGGAGGUUCCAAGUUCAAACCCUAUAGCAGGCUUA